rnacentral:rRNA from 1 species
UGGGGAAUUUUGGACAAUGGGCGAAAGCCUGAUCCAGCAAUGCCGCGUGUGUGAAGAAGGCCUUCGGGUUGUAAAGCACUUUUGUCCGGAAAGAAAUCCUUGGCUCUAAUACAGUCGGGGGAUGACGGUACCGGAAGAAUAAGCACCGGCUAACUACGUGCCAGCAGCCGCGGUAAUACGUAGGGUGCAAGCGUUAAUCGGAAUUACUGGGCGUAAAGCGUGCGCAGGCGGUUUGCUAAGACCGAUGUGAAAUCCCCGGGCUCAACCUGGGAACUGCAUUUGUGACUGGCGGGCUAGAGUAUGGCAGAGGGGGGUAGAAUUCCACGUGUAGCAGUGAAAUGCGUAGAGAUGUGGAGGAAUACCGAUGGCGAAGGCAGCCCCCUGGGCCAAUACUGACGCUCAUGCACGAAAGCGUGGGGAGCAAACAGGAUUAGAUACCCUGGUAGUCCACGCCCUAAACGAUGUCAACUAGUUGUCGGGUCUUCAUUGACUUGGUAACGUGCUAACGCGUGAAGUUGACCGCCUGGGGAGU